AGGGUGUAAACGCUGCAGACUUGGUGUUGGAAAUCCUUCGAGGGUGUUCAGUGCCGGAGAGAAGUUGUUAAGUCUGCUACUUGGGGAGUACGUCCGCAAGGAUGAAACUUAAAGGAAUUGGCGGGGGAGCACCGCAACGGGAGGAGCGUGCGGUUUAAUUGGAUUCAACACCGGAAAACUCACCAGGGGAGACUGUUACAUGAAACCCAGACUAAUGAUCUUGGUUGAUUUUCAGAGAGGAGGUGCAUGGCGUCAGUGACU
rnacentral:rRNA from 1 species